GACGAACGCUGGCGGCGUGCUUAGCACAUGCAAGUCGAACGGAAAGGCCCUGCUUUUGUGGGGUGCUCGAGUGGCGAACGGGUGAGUAACACGUGAGUAACCUGCCCUUGACUUUGGGAUAACUUCAGGAAACUGGGGCUAAUACCGGAUAGGAGCUCCUGCUGCAUGGUGGGGGUUGGAAAGUUUCGGCGGUAGGGGAUGGACUCGCGGCUUAUCAGCUUGUUGGUGGGGUAGUGGCUUACCAAGGCUUUGACGGGUAGCCGGCCUGAGAGGGUGACCGGCCACAUUGGGACUGAGAUACGGCCCAGACUCCUACGGGAGGCAGCAGUGGGGAAUAUUGCACAAUGGGCGGAAGCCUGAUGCAGCAACGCCGCGUGCGGGAUGACGGCCUUCGGGUUGUAAACCGCUUUCGCCUGUGACGAAGCGUGAGUGACGGUAAUGGGUAAAGAAGCACCGGCUAACUACGUG
rnacentral:rRNA from 1 species